GGGGUCAGGGACUGCUAUGGAGUGGUCAUCUCGCUUGCACCGAGAACAUCAGCCGGGUUCGAAUCCUCGGUGACUCCACCA
rnacentral:tRNA from 1 species